AUUGAACGCUGGCGGCAUGCCUAACACAUGCAAGUCGAACGAGUGGCGGACGGGUGAGUAAUGUCUGGGAACCUGCCUGAUGGAGGGGGAUAACUACUGGAAACGGUAGCUAAUACCGCAUACCAUCAGAUGUGCCCUGGUGGGGUUAGCUAGUCGGUGGGGUAUCGGCUCACCAAGGCGACGAUCCCUAGCGGGUCUGAGAGGUUGACCGGCCACACUGGAACUGAGACACGGUCCAGACUCCUACGUGAGGCAGCAGUAGGGAAUAUUGGACAAUGGGCGAAAGCCUGAUGCAGCAAUGCCGCGUGUAUGAAGAAGGCUUUCGGGUCGUAAAGUACUGUCAUCAGGGAGGCGGUACCCGCAGAGGAAGCACCGGCUAACUCCGUGCCAGCAGCCGCGGUAAUAC
rnacentral:rRNA from 1 species